rnacentral:misc_RNA from 1 species
AACUUUCGGCAAUGGAUCUCUUGGCUCUGGCAUCGAUGAAGAACGCAGCGAAAUGCGAUAAGUAAUGUGCAUUGCAGAAUUCAGUGAAUCAUCGAAUCUUUGAACGCACAUUGCGCCCGCCAGUAUUCUGGCGGGCAUGCCUGUUCGAGCGUCAUUUCAACCCUCAAGCCCCAGCCGGCUUGGUGUUGGGGACCGGCCCCGGCCGCCCCCCAAAUGCAGUGGCGACCUCGCCGCAGCCUCCCCUGCGUAGUAGCACAACCUCGCACCGGAGCGCGGAGACGGUCACGCCGUAAAACGCCCAACUUCUCAGAGUUGACCUCGGAUCAGGUAGGAAUACCCGCUGAACUUAAGCAUAUCAAUAAGCGGAGGCU